rnacentral:ncRNA from 1 species
UUAAACACGAUGAUUAGGGAAAGUAGGUUAUACAAGUCAUACAGAGAGGGAUUCCUUGGCUGAGAGAAUCCUAUGAUAUAGUAUAACUGAAGUGCCCCUAUGAGUGUUAGGUCGAAGUUUAUAGUAGGCCGUGACGGGUUCUCCCGUUAUAGAGAUAUGGUGUGUUAGCACCUGAAAACGAGAUAGGGGCUUUUUGUCCCUAAGCAGAGUGGAACCGCGGAAGAUAACCUUCUGCCUCUGAU